CCCUUAGAUGUCCUGGGCUGCACGCGCGCUACACUGGAAGUUACGGAUUGAGAUACUACCUUGUCCGAAAUGGUCCGGGUAAUCACCUAAAAGCUUGUCAUAAUUGGAAUGGAUUAUUGUAACUAGUAAUCCUGAACGAGGAAUUCCUAGUAAGUCCCAGUCAACAGCUGGUACUGAUUACGUCCCUGCCCUUUGUACACACCGCCCGUCGCUACUACUGAUUGGACGUUUAAGCAAGAUUUUUAAACACUGACAGUGUGUAGUUCACGCUAUACUACAGUGAGAAGAAGAAGAUCGAGCUUACUUGUCUAGAGGAAGGAGAAGUCGUAACA
rnacentral:rRNA from 1 species